GAAAACGGCGAGCAAAUGACGCUGGCGGCGGCCUAACACAUGCAAGUCGACGGUAGCAGGAAGAGCUUGCUGUUUCGCUGACGAGUGGCGGACGGGUGAGUAAUGUCUGGGAAACUGCCUGAUGGAGGGGGAUAACUACUGGAAACGGUAGCUAAUACCGCAUAACGUCGCAAGACCAAAGAGGGGGACCUUCGGGCCUCUUGCCUCGGAUGUGCCCAGAUGGGAUUAGCUAGUAGGUGGGGUAACGGCUCACCUAGGCGACGAUCCCUAGCUGGUCUGAGAGGAUGACCAGCCACACUGGAACUGAGACACGGUCCAGACUCCUACGGGAGGCAGCAGUGGGGAAUAUUGCACAAUGGGCGCAAGCCUGAUGCAGCCAUGCCGCGUGUAUGAAGAAGGCCUUCGGGUUGUAAAGUACUUUCAGCGGGGAGGAAGGGAGUAAAGUUAAUACCUUUGCUCAUUGACGUUACCCGCAGAAGAAGCACCGGCUAACUCCGUGCAGUCAGCCGCGGUAGCC
rnacentral:rRNA from 1 species